rnacentral:rRNA from 1 species
CGACGUAAAGAACCUACCUUAUAGACAGGGACAACUAUUGGAAACGAUAGCUAAUACCUGAUAAGAAAGAAACUCGCAUGAGAGAAGUUCGAAAGUCGGAGCAAUCUGACACUAUAAGAUGGCUUUGCGGUGCAUUAGCUAGUUGGUAGAGUAAAAGCCUACCAAGGCGACGAUGCAUAGCCGACCUGAGAGGGUGAUCGGCCACAUUGGGACUGAGACACGGCCCAGACUCCUACGGGAGGCAGCAGGG